AAGCGAAGUAAGUUCAAAGUCGAAGUUCUUCGCUUGCACUUUCGCAAUUUCCCGGUUUCCGCGCGUGGUUCGCUGCGUUGGCGUUUCGCGCGAUCAACAAUCUUAAAGUUAUUCUUCUAAUUAUUAUAUUAAAAUACAUUUAUAGCCUUUCGGGGGGAGAAUGUUAUUUCCGGGACCCCUCAAUUUGAUAGAUGUAUUUGAUAGAUAUUUUACCAAAAAAAGAAGAGAGAGAAAUAAGAGAGAAGAAAACCCGAAAUGUUCGGGGUAACUCAAAAUGACCUGGAGACGUUGUUGAGAAAUCCGGGAAGAGUUUUCUUUUCUGUAUAAGCGUUCGAGUUCCUUGGAAACCUUUAGCAGGGAGAUAAGGUUUGGAACGCGAAGAGCAAUGCAGUUGCGGCAGUGUCUGGAUCUUCUCCUCGGACCUUGAAAAUCCAGGAGAGGGCCACGUGGAGGUGUGCCGAAUCGUACCCAUAUCAGCAGCAGGUUUCCAAGGUAAGGAGCCUCU
rnacentral:ncRNA from 1 species